rnacentral:sRNA from 1 species
GAUUAAGGUUCGAUUCGAGCGCAGCGAGAAAGCGUUGCCGCAGGCAACGGCCCGAAGGGCGAAGCGCGCAGCGCUGAGUCAUCCUUCCCCCACCACCA